AACCUGGUUGAUGCCUGCGCAGUAGUCAUAUGCGUUGUCUCAAAGACUAAGCCAUGCAUGUCUAAGUAUAAGUAUUAUACAGCGAAACUGCGAAUGGCUCAUUAAAACAGUUAUAGUUUAUUUGAUAAUCGAAUUUACAUGGAUAACCGUGGUAAUUCUAGAGCUAAUACAUGCUGGUGUGCCCGACUUUUGUGGAAGGGCGGUAUUUAUUAGAUAACAAGCCAAUAUUCCUCUGGUCUAUUGUGGUGACUCAUAAUAACUGAUCGAAUCGCAAGGCCUAUGGCCGCGGUAAGUCAUUCAAGUUUCUGCCCCAUCAGCUUUCGAUGGUAGUGUAUUGGACUACCAUGGCGUUUACGGGUAACGGAGGAUUAGGGUUCGAUUCCGGAGAGGGAGCCUGAGAAACGGCUACCACAUCUAAGGAAGGCAGCAGGCGCGUAAAUUACCCAAUCCUGACUCAGGGAGGUAGUGACAAGAAAUAACGGACCGGGGCCUUACGGCUUCGGGAUUGCAAUGAGCCGAAUUUACACCCCUUAGCGAAGAUCGAUUGGAGGGCAAGUCUGGUGCCAGCAGCCGCGGUAAUUCCAGCUCCAAUAGC
rnacentral:rRNA from 1 species